GUGAACCCUGAAAUGUAGUCUCCUCUUAAAGUUAUCAGCAGGAAUCAGGGUAGGAUUCCUUCUGGGAUUCUCCAUUCUCCAUUCUCCAGGGCUUAUUCUUGAGCUAACUGUAAUUUUGCAUCUUGAGCAUGAUGACGUUGUGUGUGUUGCUAAGAUGCCUGGAUCUCCCACUCACCAAAAUCUUCUUCAAUCAGACUCUCUUUCUUGGAUUUCAUGGGUGGAAAGACCCUGGCCAGCUCCCUGGGGUGGUUCAUCACACCCAAGUCUUUCCUGAUGAACUUGCCUCAAGUCUUUGAAGACACAUUUAACACAUCACAUCACCCUUGUUAUACUGUGCUAAUGCUUGACUGCUGAGAAAUCUUGAUGCUGGAUGAUCUCACAUUCUACUUUCUUCAAGAAUCUUCACAAACUUAAACAAUUGGGAAUGGGUGUGUGUGUGUGUGUGUGUGUGUGUGUGUGUGUGUGUGUGUCUAUGUAUGUCCUUUCUUCCUCUGGCAAUCAUGAGCCUAUUUCCCAGAGCCCAUUGAAGUACCUACUACAUUCCCAUAGUAACUAUAUUUCCAGAAUGUUCCUGGUCCAAAUCAGAUUUGAGAUUGCCUCUGGUUCAUCCCUACACGGCUCCUGCCUUUGGUAGAGGUGCUCUGGGCAAUAUGAUGCUCAACAAAUAUUAUCUCCCUAUGCCUAAAGCCCAAAAUCACCACUGCCAUUCUAAGUUGUCAAUAUAACAUGUAAGAAACAUUCAUUAAAUGUUGUAAGUUGAAAGUGUUUAUUUACCUCCACUGUGUGCCAAAUGCCACAAAAUUUAUAGUAUGGAGAAAAAAUACAUAAAUCCUUG
rnacentral:lncRNA from 1 species